CAGAGUUCGUGCCCUCACGGGUAGAUCUCCCACCCUUGUGUAUUCUCUACACCUUGUUGCUUUGGCAGGCCGUUGGUUCGCCAACCACCGGCUCGCGGGCUGGUGCGUGCCUGCCAGAGGACCUCUCAAACUCGGUUUGUCAGUGUCGUCUGAGUACCAUAACAAUCGUUUA
rnacentral:misc_RNA from 1 species